GCUGGGCACGGUGGCUCAUGCCUGUAAUCCCAGCACUUUGGGAGGCUGAGGCGGGUGGAUCACCUGAGGUCAGGAGUUCGAGACCAGCCUGGCCAAGAUGGUGAAACCCCGUCUCUA
rnacentral:SRP_RNA from 1 species